rnacentral:pre_miRNA from 2 species
UGUUAUGGAUGAGCAAAGAAAGUGGUUUCUUGCAAUUGAAUCUACUCCUGGUAAAGAUGCUGUAAA